GUCCACGCCUAACGAUGCACACUAGUUGUUGUGAGGCUAGACCUUGCAGUAAUGCAGUUAACACAUUAAGUGUGCCGCCUGGGAGUACGGUCGCAAGAUUAAACUCAAAGGAAUAGACGGGACCCGCACAAGCGGUGGAGCAUGUGGUUUAAUUCGACGAUACACGAAGAACCUUACCUGGACUUGACAUAGUAAGAACUUUCUAGAGAUAGAUUGGUGUCUGCUUGCAGAAACUUAUAUACAGGUGCUGCACGGCUGUCGU
rnacentral:rRNA from 1 species